GCCCAGGUGGUGGAACGGCAGACACAGGGGACUUAAAAUCCCCUGACCUUCGGGUCGUGCGGGUUCGAAUCCCGCCCUGGGCACCA
rnacentral:tRNA from 1 species